rnacentral:rRNA from 1 species
GAGUUUGAUCCUGGCUCAGGACGAAUGUUGGCGGCGUGCCUAAUGCAUGCAAGUCGAACGAGGGACCUCCUCCGGGUAACCGGAAGAGGUCACCUAGUGGCGAGCGGGUGAGUAACACGUGAGAAACCUGCCCCGGAGACCGGAAUAGCCCAGGGAAACUUGGAUUAAUGCCGGAUGUCCUCGGAUGGUCGCAUGGCCGACCGAGGAAAAGUCCGCUGCUCCGGGAUGGUCUCGUGGCCUAUCAGCUUGUUGGUGAGGUAACGGCUCACCAAGGCGACGACGGGUAGCUGGUCUGAGAGGACGAUCAGCCACACUGGGACUGAGACACGGCCCAGACUCCUGCGGGAGGCAGCAGCAGGGAAUUUUGCACAAUGGACGAAAGUCUGAUGCAGCGACGCCGCGUGGGGGAUGAAUGCCUUCGGGUUGUAAACCCCUUUCAGGAGGGACGAAGCGAAAGUGACGGUACCUCCAGAAGAAGCCCCGGCCAACUACGUGCCAGCAGCCGCGGUAAUACGUAGGGGGCGAACGUUGUCCGGAUUUAUUGGGCGUAAAGAGCUCGUAGGCGGCUCAACAAGUCGGCCGUGAAAACCCGGGGCUCAACCCCGGGACGCCGGUCGAAACUGUUGUGGCUAG